rnacentral:sRNA from 1 species
UUUUUUUAAACAUAAAA